rnacentral:rRNA from 1 species
UACGGAGGAUGCAAGCGUUAUCCGGAAUGAUUGGGCGUAAAGCGUCCGCAGGUGGCAAUGUAAGUCUGCUGUCAAAGCGUCUGGCUCAACCAGAUAAAGGCAGUGGAAACUAUAUAGCUAGAGUAAGGUAGGGGUAGAGGGAAUUCCUGGUGUAGCGGUGAAAUGCGUAGAGAUCAGGAAGAACACCGGUGGCGAAAGCGUUCUGCUAGACCUGUACUGACACUGAGGGACGAAAGCUAGGGGAGCGAAUGGG